rnacentral:rRNA from 1 species
GUGCCGCAGGGAAACCAUUAAAUGCCCCGCCUGGGGAAUACGGCCGCAAGGUUGAAACUCAAAGGAAUUGACGGGGGCCCGCACAAGCGGUGGAGCAUGUGGUUUAAUUCGACGCUACGCGAAGAACCUUACCUGGGCUUGACAUGUUAGUGGUAAGAACCCGAAAGGGGGAUGACUCCGACUUUGUUGGAGAGCUAACACAGGUGCUGCAUGGCUGUCGUCAGCUCGUGCCGUGAGGUGUUGGGUUAAGUCCCGCAACGAGCGCAACCCUUAUUCUCUGUUGCUCCGAAGCGAUUCGGGGCUCUCUGAGGAAACUGCCAGCGAUGAGCUGGAGGAAGGUGGGGACGACGUCAAGUCAUCAUGGCCCUUACGUCCAGGGCGACACACGUGCUACAAUGGCCGCUACAGAGGGUCGCAAUACCGUGAGGUGGAGCCAAUCCCUAAAAGCGGUCUCAGUUGGGAUCGGAGUCUGCAACUCGACUCCGUGAACGAGGAAUCGCUAGUAAUCGUGGAUCAGCCAUGCCACGGUGAAUACGUUCCCGGGCCUUGUACACACCGCCCGUCACACCACGAAAGCCUGUUGUACCCGAAGCUGGUGCGCCAACCCGCAAGGGAGGUAGCUAUCUAAGGUAUGACCGGUAAUUGGGGUGAAGUCGUAACAAGGUAACC